CUCGGAGCAGCCAUGAUGGCCUGGACGACGGUCCCAACUUCCUCUCAGAGGAGGACCGCGGACUUAAAAGCAAUAAAUGUAGAUCUUCAGAGUGAUGCUGCUCUGCAGGUGGACAUUUCUGAUGCUCUGAGAGAGACAAAGUAAAAUUCACUGUUCACACAAAGAGCUCAUUGCCAAAUUUUAAACAGAACGAGUUUUCUGUUGUUCAACAACAUGAAGAGUUUAUCUGGCUUCAUGAUUCUUUCAUUGAAAAUGAAGACUAUGCAGGUUACAUUAUCCCUCCAGCACCACCAAGACCUGAUUUUGAUGCCUCAAGGGAGAAACUGCAGAAACUUGGAGAAGGAGAAGGAUCUAUGACAAAGGAGGAAUUCACGAAGAUGAAACAGGAAUUGGAAGCUGAGUAUUUGGCAGUAUUCAAGAAGACGGUUGCAAUGCAUGAAGUGUUUCUGUGUCGUGUGGCUGCACAUCCCAUUUUGAGGAAAGAUUUAAAUUUCCAUGUCUUCCUGGAAUAUAAUCAAGAUUUGAGUGUGCGAGGAAAAAAUAAAAAAGAGAAACUUGAAGAUUUCUUUAAAAACAUGGUUAAAUCAGCAGAUGGAGUAAUUGUUUCUGGAGUAAAGGAUGUAGAUGAUUUCUUUGAGCAUGAACGAACAUUCCUUUUAGAAUAUCAUAACCGAGUUAAGGAUGCAUCUGCUAAAUCUGAUAGGAUGACAAGAUCCCACAAAAGUGCUGCAGAUGAUUACAAUAGAAUUGGUUCUUCAUUAUAUGCUUUAGGAACUCAGGAUUCUACAGAUAUAUGCAAGUUUUUUCUUAGUUUCAGAACUGUUUGAUAAGACAAGAAAAAUAGAAGCACGAGUGUCAGCUGAUGAGGACCUCAAGCUUUCUGACCUUUUAAAAUAUUACUUAAGAGAAUCCCAAGCUGCUAAGGAUCUCCUCUAUCGAAGAUCUAGGUCAUUAGUGGAUUAUGAAAAUGCCAGUAAAGCACUGGAUAAAGCAAGAGCGAAAAAUAAAGAUGUUCUGCAGGCUGAAACAUCCCAACAGUUACGUUGUCAGAAAUUUGAAAAAAUAUCUGAAUCUGCAAAACAAGAACUUAUAGAUUUUAAGACAAGAAGAGUUGCUGCAUUCAGAAAAAAUUUAGUGGAACUGGCAGAGUUAGAACUGAAGCAUGCAAAGGGUAAUCUACAGUUGCUGCAGAACUGCCUGGCAGUGCUCAAUGGAGACACAUAAGCCACACUCUUGCCUUCCAGUUAAAAAGGGCUGCCUUCCUUCAGAUUUUAUUUUUUCUUAAUGAUGUUAGGCAUUUACUGCUCACUGGAAAUGAAAGAAACAGCUGACAGAGUGCAUCUCCUCUCCCUUUUUCUGAAAAAUAAUGAAUCGGUGCCACCCACGGGUCUGCGGGCUGCGUGGUGGCACCUGCGCCUUGGACAAUUGCCCAUCAUCACGCCCUCCUCCUCUUCAGAAGUCCAAAGUAGCCUCUAUAACUGUGUUUAUUUUAUGAAUAGUAUUCCUUUUGGCUGCCAAUCUUAUUUACCUUUAAAUAAUUUCUGAAGUUUAACCCUUUCCAAAAUACAUGGUUUAAACGA